rnacentral:miRNA from 1 species
AGGUUUGCCACCUUCCGGAC